rnacentral:rRNA from 1 species
CGGAGGGUGCAAGCGUUAUCCGGAUUCACUGGGUUUAAAGGGUGCGUAGGCGGGCUUGUAAGUCCGUGGUGAAAUCUCUGAGCUUAACUCGGAAACUGCCAUGGAUACUAUGGGUCUUGAAUACUCGGGAGGUGAGCGGAAUAUGUCAUGUAGCGGUGAAAUGCUUAGAUAUGACAUAGAACACCAAUUGCGAAGGCAGCUUGCUACAGAGUUAUUGACGCUGAGGCACGAAAGCGUGGGAUCAAACAGGAUU